GUGCCAGCAGCCGCGGUAAUACCGGCGGCUCGAGUGGUGGCCACUAUUACUGGGCUUAAAGCGUUCGUAGCUGGUCUGUUAAGUCUCUGGGGAAAUCUACUGGCUUAACCAAUAGGCGUCUCAGGGAUACUGGCAGACUAGGGACCGGGAGAGGUGAGAGGUACUCCAGGGGUAGGAGUGAAAUCCUGUAAUCCUUGGGGGACCACCUGUGGCGAAGGCGUCUCACCAGAACGGCUCCGACAGUGAGGGACGAAAGCUGGGGGAGCAAACCGGAUUAGAUACCCCGGUAGUCC
rnacentral:rRNA from 1 species